ACUGCCACACCCCCUGUCCCUUCCACGCGCCCGCCCGCCCGCUCUGUACCCCGCCUCUAAUUAAACGCCUCGCCUCAGCGCGAGGAGAGAAACGACGCUCCCGCGGGUUCGGAGUCGCUCGUGCCGGCGUCGGCGCGUGCCCCUCCCCAGAGCCGACCAAUCACGCGCCGGCGCAGAAGUGGGGCAGGGCGCGCGGGGUCGCGAGGUGCGCUCCCGCCGCGGGGACGUCCCCCUUGUUUUUCGCGCCGAAACGCCGCGUUGCGUGAAGGUCGUCGCCGGCCGCGUCCUUCCUCCAUCUGCCCCGCGCGCUGGAAAGGGAGUGGCGCGCGCAGGAUUCUCCGCGAUUUAAUUUGCCGCUUCGCGCCUCGGCGAGUCAUCCCGCGAGGCGGCCGGGCGCGCGCGCGUCCCGCCGUCCUUCGAGCGCGGACACAAGUAGGCCGCGCGCCUGCAUCGAGUCCUGGGAGCGCGUGUCGUGCGCGUCACCGGAAGUUGUGGAGCUGUUUGUCAAAUGAAGAGGCGUCUGUCCUGCCAGGGUCCCGUCCCAGGCGUUUGCGCCCGUCGGCCGUCCGCGGAGGGCACGAGGCGCCGGCACGGCUCAGGGGUCUCUCUGCAUCCGCUGCCAGGUCUAAGGUGAGGAAAGCAGCACCGGGUACAUUUCUUAUCGCAGCGCCAUGGCAACCGUGA
ensembl:lncRNA